AUUCUUGAGCGCGUUUCACCUGAGUUUCGUGAGAGGAACAGGUACAGUGAGUUGACGCGCUUCCGGACGCAGGUGAGAGAGUAGCCGUCAUGAACGCGAGGAUCAAAAAGAAAAGCGGCUGCCUCGCGCUCUUCGCUUGGACGCUGAGGUCUUGAUCCUUUGGGUUUUAAAAUAAUAACACCAACAGUUCCUCCGCCGGUAUCACAGCAGUUUCUCAGGUUAAAGUUCCCUUCCAAAAUGUAAAAGGAUGACCACUGUGUAGUCACAAUUAACCAGCAUCAUGAGUUCGGAGAGCGCGUUGGGCCUGUUCAUGCCGCUGUU